AUGUCUGUGGCACGGACGCUGACGACCUUGUCCAUCCGGCGGGGCGAGCGCGAGCUCGUGGCGCCGGCGAGGCCCACGCCCUACGAGUUCAAGGUGCUCUCCGACAUCGACGACCAGGAGGUCCUCCGCUUCUAUCGCUCCGGCGCCUUCUUCUACCGCGGCGACGCCUCCAAGUCCGGCAUUGACCCGGCGAAGGCCAUCAAGUCGGCGAUCUCGGAGGCGCUCGUGCACUACUACCCUCUCGCCGGCCGGUUCCGGGAGCUCCAGCCGACGAGGAAGCUCGUGGUCGAGUGCACGGGGGAGGGGGUCGUGUUCGUCGAGGCGGACGCCGACGUCCGGAUGGAAGACUUUGGAAACUCGCUGGCACCGCCGGUGCCAUGUUACGAUGAGCUGUUGCCCGAGCAGGAGAGCGCGACCGCCGUUGUCGUCGACCGUCCUUUGCUCUUUGUUCAGGUGACGCGGCUGAGGUGCGGAGGCUUCGUCUUCGGGUUCCAGAUAUGCCACUGCAUCGCCGACGGCCCGGGGAUCGUGCAGUUCCUGACGGCGCUGACGGAGUUCACCCGCGGCGUGCCGGGCGCGCCGACCGUGCGGCCGGUGUGGCAGCGUGAGCUCCUCACGGCGAGCUGGCCGCCGGCUACCGCGCACGACCACGUGGAGUACGCGCCUCUCCCCGACCCCGGAAAGGACGUGGUCUCCUCCUCGGACAUCUUCUCGCAGCACACGUUCUUCUUCGGCCCCCGCGAGAUCGAGGCGCUCCGGUCCCAGGCCCCGCCGGCGCUGCGCACCGCCGCGUCGCGGUUCGACCUGAUCGGCGCCUUCAUGUGGCGGUGUCGUGCCGCCGCGCUGCGGUACGGCCCGGACGAGCUGGUCCGGCUGCACAUGUUCGUGAACGGCCGGGUGAGGAACAGGAGCCGGCACCGCCUGCCGAGGGGCUACUACGGCAACUCGUUCGCGUUCGCCUCCGCGUGCGCGCCCGCCGGGCAGCUGUGCCGGAGGCCCCUCGGCGAGGCGCUGCGGCUGCUGCUGGAGGCCAAGGCGCGGGCGGAGCAGGAAGGGUACGUGCAGUCGGCGGCCGGCUUCAACGCGGCGCACAGGAGGCCGGCGUUCCCCAAGGCCCGGACGUACCUCAUCUCGGACAUGACCCAGGGGGGGAUGAUGGCGGUGGAUUUCGGGUGGGGCACGCCGGUGUACGGAGGGCCGGCGACGAUCAUUCUGGCCACGUUCCAUCUGGAGGGGAGGAACGAGGCCGGUGAGGUGGGCGUCAACGUACCGACGAGGUUGCCUGUGCUGGCGCUGGAGCGGCUGAAGGUGGAGGUGAGCAAGGGGCUAACGGUCAGCGGUCGGACUGUCACUGAACCUGCGGACAAGAGCAAGUCAGCCUUGGUUCCUGGUCACGCUCUCGCAAAGCUGUAG
rnacentral:rRNA from 1 species